rnacentral:snRNA from 10 species
GGAUGUGAGUGUGAUCUGUCUGGGACAUCUGUCACCCCAUUGAUUACUAGGGUUGAUUUGGCUAAUCUGGCUGGCUAGGCGGGUGUCUCCUUCCUCCCACACUGCUCCAUGUAUGUCCCUCCCGAAGCUGCACGCUUGACCAAAGAGGAUGACCAUCCGGAUAGAGGAGGACUGGUCUUCAGUCAAGGGUAUAUGUAUGGUUGUACUCCCCUGCUAGAACCUCCAAAGAAGCUUUCAAGAAGAGCUUAUGGCAGGCCGGGUGCAGUGGCUGAUGUCUGUAAUCCCAGCACUUUGGGAGGACGAGGUGGGCGAAUUGCUUGAG